rnacentral:rRNA from 1 species
GACGAACGCUGGCGGCGUGCUUAACACAUGCAAGUCGAACGGAAAGGCCCAGCUUGCUGGGUGCUCGAGUGGCGAACGGGUGAGUAACACGUGGGUGAUCUGCCCCUAACUUCGGGAUAAGCUUGGUAAACUGGGUCUAAUACCGGAUAGGACAAUCGUUUAGUGUCGGUUGUGGAAAGUUUUUUCGGUUAGGGAUGAGCCCGCGGCCUAUCAGCUUGUUGGUGGGGUAAUGGCCUACCAAGGCAUCGACGGGUAGCCGGCCUGAGAGGGUAGACGGCCACAUUGGGACUGAGAUACGGCCCAGACUCCUACGGGAGGCAGCAGUGGGGAAUAUUGCACAAUGGGCGCAAGCCUGAGGCAGCGACGCCGCGUGGGGGAUGACGGCCUUCGGGUUGUAAACCUCUUUCGACAGGGACGAAGCUUUGGUGACGGUACCUGUAUAAGAAGCACCGGCUAACUAC